CUUCACCGAGCCGAGCCAGAGCGGCCGAUCCCGGUCCUGGCCGUAGGUGGCCAGCAGCGCGUGCGCCUC
rnacentral:antisense_RNA from 1 species